rnacentral:rRNA from 1 species
UACGGGGUGCAGCAGGCGCGAAAACUCCACAAUACGCGAAAGCGUGAUGGGGUUACCCCGAGUGCCGUCCAAAAGGAUGGCUUUUACCCGGUGUAGCGAGCCGGGAGAAUAAGUGGAGGGCAAGACUGGUGUCAGCCGCCGCGGUAAUACCAGCUCCACGAGUGGUGGGGAUUUAUUUGGCCUAAAGCGCCCGUAGCCGGCUUGGCAAGUCUUCCGCUAAAUCUCGCGACCUAAUCGCCAGACUGCGGGAGAUACUGUCGGGCUAGGAGACGGGAGAGGUCGACGGUAGUCCCGGUGUAGGGGUGAAAUCCACUGAUCCCGGGAGGACCACCAGUGGCGAAGGCGGUCGACCAGAACGUGCUUAACGGUGAGGGGCGAAAGCUGGGGGAGCAAACCGGAUUAGAUACCCGGGUAGUCCCAGCCGUAAACGAUGCGGGCUAGGUGUUGGGGCGGCCACGAGCCACUCCAGUGCCUCAGGGAAGCCAUUAAGCCCGCCGCCUGGGGAGUACGGCCGCAAGGCUGAAACUUAAAGGAAUUGGCGGGGGAGCAC